AGUCGAACGGCAGCACGGACUUCGGUCUGGUGGCGAGUGGCGAACGGGUGAGUAAUGUAUCGGAACGUGCCCAGUAGCGGGGGAUAACUACGCGAAAGCGUAGCUAAUACCGCAUACGCCCUACGGGGGAAAGCAGGGGAUCGCAAGACCUUGCACUAUUGGAGCGGCCGAUAUCGGAUUAGCUAGUUGGUGGGGUAACGGCUCACCAAGGCGACGAUCCGUAGCUGGUUUGAGAGGACGACCAGCCACACUGGGACUGAGACACGGCCCAGACUCCUACGGGAGGCAGCAGUGGGGAAUUUUGGACAAUGGGGGAAACCCUGAUCCAGCCAUCCCGCGUGUGCGAUGAAGGCCUUCGGGUUGUAAAGCACUUUUGGCAGGAAAGAAACGUCGUGGGUUAAUACCCCGCGAAACUGACGGUACCUGCAGAAUAAGCACCGGCUAACUACGU
rnacentral:rRNA from 1 species